rnacentral:tRNA from 1 species
GGAGAAGUGCCAGAGCGGUCGAAUGGGGCGGUCUCGAAAACCGCUGUGCCUGUAAGGGUACCGAGGGUUCGAAUCCCUCCUCCUCCGCCA